GAUAAACGCUGGCGGCGUGCUUAACACAUGCAAGUCGAACGAAGCUUUUCUUUCGGGAGGAACUUAGUGGCGGACGGGUGAGUAACGCGUGGGUAACCUGCCCUGUACAGGGGGACAACAGCUGGAAACGGCUGUUAAUCCCGCAUAAGCCCUUAGCACUGCAUGGUGCAUAGGGAAAAGGCGCAAUCCGGUACAGUAUGGACCCGCGUCUGCUUAGCCAGCUGGCAGGGUAACGGCCUACCAAAGCGACGAUCAGUAGCCGAUCUGAGAGGAUGUACGGCCACAGUGGGACUGAGACACGGCCCAGACUCCUACGGGAGGCAGCAGUGGGGAAUAUUGCACAAUGGAGGAAACUCUGAUGCAGCGACGCCGCGUGAGUGAAGAAGGAUUUCGGUAUGUAAAGCUCUAUCAGCAGGAAAGAAAAUGACGGUACCUGACUAAGAAGCACCGGCUAAAUACGUG
rnacentral:rRNA from 1 species